AAAAUUUUGGAAAGCUUCACGAAUUUGCGUGACAUCCUUGUGCAGGAAACAUGCUAAUCAUCUCUGUAUUGUUCCAAUUUUAGUACAUGUUCAGGAAUGAAC
rnacentral:snRNA from 1 species